GGAAAAUUUGCACUAACCGCAUGUAGAAAGUUACAUAAAUUUUUAACAACAGUAUUCAAUAUAUCCUUUCAAACUGAGACACUCGAGUUACUUUCUGACUGACGUUUAGUUUGGUUCAGCAUAUACUUAUGCCAUUAUGCAGACAUGCAACUCUACCUAGUUCGAUCCCAUCCAGGAAUCUCUAACUAGAAUUUCAAAAACUCACUAGCUCUCUGUUUGGUUGCCCAGAAAAGUGGGCUUAAAAAGAGCAAUAUCAAACAAAUUCCGAGCAUAACCCAUUGCAUUGCUCCGUUUUCUCAUCAAACAAACACCCACCAUCCUUCUCUACAGCAAAUUGAUCAUACCGUGGCACUAGGGUUUCAAUAAAAAUAAUAUACAUAUGUAAAUAAACAAGAAUCAUU
rnacentral:misc_RNA from 1 species